CGUCCAAGUCAAAGUCCAAGUCUUUCACGUUAACCCGAACCCCAGGAUUUCAGCACUCCUUCUUUUCAUCACCGCUUCCGAGCCCGUCGGACCGGGCGUCCUGCAGAUCCAGUUUGCAGCUGGUUCAAUCCAGAGACUCUCACACAACACUGCACCCCUGAGCAAGAAUAAUAGCUGCUCCCUCAAACACACCUGACAGGAUUCACCUGUGACGUGGAGGGACAGAUAAGGGGGGGACUGAGAGAGAGAGAGGUGGAGAGAGAGAGAAAGAGAGAGAGAGAGGUGAAGAGAAAGAGAUAAACAAACACAGAGAGAGAGAGAGAGAGAGAGAGAGAGAGAGAGAGAGAGAUAAACAAACACAGAGAGAGAGAGAGAGAGAAGAGAGAGGGAAGAGAAAGAGAUAAACAAACA
ensembl:lncRNA